rnacentral:sRNA from 1 species
CUAAUGCUAAUUUCCUGCGUCAUGCAGAUACCAGUAGGAGUAUUCAUGGUUACGAAACACAUGGUUUCUCUUAAAAAUGAUGCCUUGGUGGUUUGUUUCUGUGCUUUGACGAUUUUAUUCAAAUUGUGAUUUGUUUACUUGUCAUAGUCGAUGCUGCGAGGGAGAGGAGGUUGUUACAAACACACAUUCUAUGGAAUUGAGAGCCAUCGCUGCAUGGAAACCACCCCGAGCUUGGCGUGUGCUAAUAAAUGUGUCUUCUGUUGGCGGCACCACACCAACCCCGUGGGCACUGAAUGGCGGUGGAAGAUGGACCAGCCUGAAAUGAUCUUGAAGGAAGCCAUCGAAAACCAUCAGAACAUGAUUAAGCAGUUUAAAGGAGUACCGGGCGUCAAAGCAGAACGCUUUGAAGAAGGAAUGACAGUAAAGCACUGUGCAUUGUCCCUCGUGGGAGAACCAAUAAUGUACCCAGAGAUCAACAGGUUUUUGAAGCUACUCCACCAGUGUAAAAUCUCCAGCUUCCUGGUCACAAAUGCACAAUUUCCUGCGGAAAUCAGGAACCUCGAGCCAGUUACUCAGCUGUAUGUCAGUGUGGAUGCCAGUACCAAAGACAGCCUGAAGAAAAUCGACCGCCCACUCUUCAAGGAUUUCUGGCGGAGAUUCCUUGACAGUUUAAAAGCCUUGGCAGUCAAGCAACAACGAACUGUCUACAGACUGACGCUCGUGAAAGCAUGGAACGUGGACGAGCUCCAGGCCUACGCGCAGCUCGUGUCCCUGGGGAAUCCUGACUUCAUCGAAGUGAAGGGUGUUACCUACUGCGGAGAAAGUUCAGCAAGCAGUCUUACCAUGGCCCACGUGCCUUGGCAUGAGGAAGUGGUACAGUUUGUCUGCGAGUUGGUGGAUCUGAUUCCCGACUAUGAAAUUGCAUGUGAACACGAACACUCUAAUUGCCUCCUGAUAGCACACAAAAAGUUUAAAAUUGGUGGUGAAUGGUGGACGUGGAUCGAUUAUAACCGCUUCCAGGAGCUCAUCCAGGAAUAUGAAGAUAGUAGUGGAUCAAAAACUUUCAGCGCAAAGGAUUAUAUGGCCAGAACUCCUCACUGGGCAUUAUUUGGUGCCAAUGAAAGAGGCUUUGAUCCCAAGGACACAAGACAUCAGAGAAAGAACAAAUCAAAGGCUAUUUCUGGAUGUUGAGGUUAUCUGAUUUCAAGGUACUGAAGGGCAAAAACUUGGAUGGCCUCAAAAGGUUCUUGAACACCACUGUGAUUCUCCAAGGACGAAUUACGUAAAUUAUACUUUCAUACA